GACGAACCGUGCGAACGUUGUUCGGAAUCACUGGGCUUAAAGGGCGCGUAGGCGGGUCGGCAAGUCAGGGGUGAAAUACUCCGGCUCAACCGGAGCAGUGCUUUUGAUACUGCCGAUCUCGAGGGGUGUAGGGGCAUGUGGAACUUCCGGUGGAGCGGUGAAAUGCGUAGAGAUCUGGAAGAACACCAAAGGCGAAGGCAGCGUCCUGGGAAGUGACUGACGCUCAUGUGCGAAAGCUAGGGGAGCGAACGGG
rnacentral:rRNA from 1 species